GAGUUGGUCAUGUUCAAUGAUGAUGUACUCUUAUAUCUCACCUGUAUGCCAUACCAGUGUCUCCACACUCCUUGGUUAAGAGAACAACCAACCCAUAUGGCCUACAGCGACCUAUGCUCGAUAGAAGCUAUCGUCCUUAUUAACAGCCUAUCAUUUGAUCGUGAACAGUUUUAAGGACUAAUCGAUAAAUUCUCUCUUUAUCGAAUCUGAAUAG
rnacentral:lncRNA from 1 species